GUGGAUUAGAUACCCCAGUAGUCCUGGCAGUAAACGGUGCACGCUUGGUGUGAGGGGAAUCGACCCCCCUUGUGCCGGAGCAAACGCGUUAAGCGUGCCGCCUGGGAAGUACGGUCGCAAGACUAAAACUCAAAGAAAUUGACGGGGACCCGCACAAGCGGUGGAGUAUGUGGCUUAAUUCGAUGCAACGCGAAGAACCUUACCAAGGCUUGACAUGCAUCUCUAAGCGCGUGAAAGCGCGUGACCCUUCGGGGGAUUUGCACAGGUGCUGCAUGGCCGUCGUCAGCU
rnacentral:rRNA from 1 species